rnacentral:rRNA from 1 species
ACGCGAAAGGCUCCUUCGCGGGGCCGAGUAGAGUGGCGUCCGGGUGAGUAACACGUGGGUAAUCUACCUUCGGGUGGGGAAUAACGUCUCGAAAGAGACGCUAAUACCGCAUAAUGCAGCGGCACCUAAUGGUGACAGUUGUUAAAGCGGGGGAUCGCAAGACCUCGCGCCUGAAGAGGAGCCCGCGGCGGAUUAGCUAGUUGGCAGGGUAACGGCCUACCAAGGCGACGAUCCGUAGCCGGCCUGAGAGGGCGGUCGGCCACACUGGCACUGACACACGGGCCAGACUCCUACGGGAGGCAGCAGUCGGGAAUUUUGGGCAAUGGGCGCAAGCCUGACCCAGCAACGCCGCGUGAAGGAUGAAGCUUUUCGGAGUGUAAACUUCAUAAGAAUGGGACGAAUAAGUGCGGGCUAACAUCCUGCAUGAUGACGGUACCAUUUGUAAGCUCCGGCUAACUCCGUGCCAGCAGCCGCGGUAAUACGGGGGGAGCAAGCGUUGUUCGGAUUUACUGGGCGUAAAGGGCGCGUAGGCGGCGCAACAAGUCGCUUGUGAAAUCUCCGGGCUUAACCCGGAGCGGUCAAGUGAUACUGUCGUGCUAGAGUGCGGAAGGGGCUACUGGAAUUCUCGGUGUAGCGGUGAAAUGCGUAGAUAUCGAGAGGAACACCUGCGGCGGAAGCCGGUAGCUGGGCCGACACUGACGCUGAUGCGCGAAAGCCAGGGGAGCGAACG